rnacentral:rRNA from 1 species
UACGUAGGGCGCAAGCGUUAUCCGGAAUUAUUGGGCGUAAAGAGCUCGUAGGCGGUUUGUCGCGUCUGCUGUGAAAGACCGGGGCUCAACUCCGGUUCUGCAGUGGGUACGGGCAGACUAGAGUGAUGUAGGGGGAGACUGGAAUUCCUGGUGUAGCGGUGGAAUGCGCAGAUAUCAGGAGGAACACCAAUGGCGAAGGCAGAUCUCUGGGCCGUAACUGACGCUGAGGAGCGAAAGCGUGGGGAGCGAACAGG